rnacentral:other from 2 species
UAUUACCUGCCGUGUGCGUAAGCAGGGGCAGAAGUGCAUCCAACAAAUGCGUCUUGGGAGCUCGAAUCCUGCUACUGCUCAGGUAGCAGGAGGGAAGCACCCACCUGUGUGACAGGGACGCAGCUUUCUGGCCCUUUACGGCACGGCGGGUUUCUU